rnacentral:tRNA from 1 species
GGGUUGUGGCUCAGUGGUUGAGUACUUACCUCACAUGUAUAAGGCACUGGGUUCAAUCCUCAGCACCCA